rnacentral:rRNA from 1 species
CAGCACCGAAUCUGUCGGCUGGCAACAGUUGACAGAGCUGUGGUGUGAAGAUGGCGGGUAUGCGCGGCCGCNAGCGUGCGCAAGUCUCAUCGAGCGGAGCCACGACCCAUAGAGGGUGGUAGGCCCGUGUCGCGCGCGGCGAUUGCAGCGCUUUCCCAGUCAUCAUAGAGUCGGGUUGUUUGGGAUUGCAACCUAAAGNCGGUGGUAAACUCCAUCGAAGGCUAAAUAUGACCACGAGUCCGAUAGCGAACAAGUACCGUGAGGGAAAAUUGAAAAGAACUUUGAAGAGAGAGCGAAAAAGUGCGUGAAACCGCUCAGAGGGAAGCGGAUGGGCCCUCGAAUGUUACCAGGUGUCUUGCGGGUUCAUGUUGUANUGGAUAUCGCUCGCUUUAUGGUGCNCGCCGNCGUUCGUCGGUUCGCCGGUGUUGUCGUUGCGAGCAUCGUUGUGGGCGGUCGAACAGCAGUAGUUCCCGUGUGGCCCGGGUGUGACGCCACCGAAGCUGGAUCGUAGGGCGGCGCGGUGAAAUGGCGCGAUCGUCGUGGUGCGGCCCUCGGCCGAUUUUCUGCGAUGUUAUGCGUCGAGAAGCGUCGCGUUNACGUUGCGCCUACGUCUAGCAUGANUAUGCGUUCUCGUUGCGCUGNUGGCGUGCUGUUAUUGCUCGUCUGUUGCGGCUGGCGGAGUCUCGUACUCCAAAGGCGGUAAAGAUGGGUGGCGGCGCGUUCGUUNCAGCAGGAGAACGUUGGUGGCGAGUAGAUGGUUUCCCAUCCAUCCCGUCUUGAAACACGGACCAAGGAGUUCAUUAUGUGCGCAGGUCAUUGGGUGUGUAGAAUACCUAUAGGCCUAGUGAAAGCGAGUGGCGCAACACGGUUGCGUUACACUUGGCGAGAUCCUGUCGUCUGCUAGCUCUAAUGGCAGGGCGUGCACGGUUGAUAGGCGCAUCGCCGGCCCGUUUCAUCAGCUGAGCGCUGGGUGCGGAGCUAGAGCGUAUAUAAUGAGACCCGAAAGAUGGUGAACUAUGCUUGGACAGGACGAAGCCAGAGGAAACUCUGGUGGAAGUCCGCAGCGAUUCUGACGUGCAAAUCGAUCGUCUGAUCUGAGUAUAGGGGCGAAAGACUAAUCGAACCAUCUAGUAGCUGGUUCCCUCCNAAGUUUCCCUCAGGAUAGCAGGUGCUCGUAACAAGGCAGUCUCAUCUGGUAAAGCUAAUGAUUAGAGGUCUUGGGAUCGAAACGAUCUCAACCUAUUCUCAAACUAUAAAUGGAUGAGAAGUCNGGCUUACUUAGUUGAAGCCCGGACUNUAGGAUGCCUGAGUGCCUAGUGGGCCACUUUUGGUAAGCAGAACUGGCGCUGCGGGAUGAACCGAACGC